rnacentral:rRNA from 1 species
UACGAAGGGGGCUAGCGUUGUUCGGAAUUACUGGGCGUAAAGCGCACGUAGGCGGAUACUUAAGUCAGGGGUGAAAUCCCGGGGCUCAACCCCGGAACUGCCUUUGAUACUGGGUAUCUCGAGUCCGGAAGAGGUGAGUGGAAUUCCGAGUGUAGAGGUGAAAUUCGUAGAUAUUCGGAGGGAAACACCACGUGGGUCGGCA